rnacentral:lncRNA from 1 species
CCAAAAGCGAUAAAUGCAACGGAUAAGUAAAAAUGAAUACCAUAUAACCAUGAUGUCUCUACUUAGCAUAAUUUGCAAAGUAAUAAAACAACUACUACAGGUGUGUACAUGCGAGUGACCAAAUGUAAUGCAUGAGUAUGCAACCAUCUCAAUGUCCACAAUAUGAAUAGCUAUAAUGUCAAUGCCCACUAUUCUAGUCAAUAUCAACUUGUCACUUUAACUGUUUAAAGCUCAGCUCUGAUGAGACCCACCCGAAGGCUGUCUGGCAUAAGACUCACCCGUAGGCUGUCUGGCUCAACUGUGCCUAAUGGCCCCGUGGUAGUCAACAUCCCCACCCUAGGAAUGAGCCUUUCCCAUGGCAAUCCACUUCGGCGCCCAAUCCCGCACGGCGAACGUAUCGCAAUGGCCAACUCCGGAGUGCCGGCUUGUAGGGAGCGACCCUCACAAGCAUGUGCGAAUGAGCACAAUGGCAAGCAUGCGUAUCAGUAUGUCUCAAGUAUCAAAUCCUCAUGUCUAAAACAU